ensembl:snRNA U4 U4 spliceosomal RNA
AGCUUUGCACAGUGGCAGUAUCGUAGCCAAUGAGGUUUAUCCGAGGCGCGAUUAUUGCUAAUUGAAACCUUAAAUCCUGACUUCAGUGACACCUCCUCUAACAAGGCCACACCUCCUAAAAUUUAGUUCUACCAAUUAGGGG